UACGGAGGGGGUUAGCGUUGUUCGGAAUGACUGGGCGUAAAGCGCGCGUAGGCGGAUCAGGAAGUUGGGGGUGAAAUCCCGGGGCUCAACCCCCGGAAUGGCCUUCAAAACUCCUGGUCUUGAGUUCGAGAGAGGUGAGUGGAAUUCCGAGUGUAGAGGUGAAAUUCGUAGAUAUUCGGAGGAACACCAGUGGCGAAGGCGGCUCACUGGCUCGACACUGACGCUGAGGUGCGAAAGCUAGGGGAGCGAACAGG
rnacentral:rRNA from 1 species